rnacentral:rRNA from 1 species
GACGAACGCUGGCGGCGUGCUUAACACAUGCAAGUCGAACGGCAAGGCCCUGCUUUUGUGGGGUGCUCGAGGGGCGAACGGGUGAGUAACACGUGAGUAACCUGCCCUUGACUUUGGGAUAACUUCAGGAAACUGGGGCUAAUACCGGAUAGGAGCUCCUGCUGCAUGGUGGGGGUUGGAAAGUUUCGGCGGUUGGGGAUGGACUCGCGGGUUAUCAGCUUGUUGGUGGGGUAGUGGAUUACCAAGGCUUGGACGGGUAGCCGGCCUGGGAGGGUGACCGGCGACAUGAGGACUGAGGUACGGCCCAGACUGCUACGGGAGGCAGCAGUGGGAAAUAUGACACAGUGGGCGGGAGCCUGAUGCGGCGGCGCCGCGUGCGGGAUGACGGCCUUCGGGUUAUGAACCGCUUUCGCUUGUGACGAAGCGUGAGUGACGGUAAUGAAUGAAGAAGCACCGGCUAACUACGUG